rnacentral:rRNA from 1 species
CCUACGGGAGGCAGCAGUAGGGAAUCUUCCACAAUGGGCGAAAGCCUGAUGGAGCAACGCCGCGUGGGUGAAGAAGGUCUUCGGAUCGUAAAACCCUGUUGUUAGAGAAGAAAGUGCGUGAGAGUAACUGUUCACGUUUCGACGGUAUCUAACCAGAAAGCCACGGCUAACUACGUGCCAGCAGCCGCGGUAAUACGUAGGUGGCAAGCGUUAUCCGGAUUUAUUGGGCGUAAAGGGAACGCAGGGGGUCUUUUAAGUCUGAUUGGAAAGCCUGUGGCUUAAACGGUGUAGUGCCAUUGAAAACGGGAGACUUGAGUGCAGAAGAGGAGAGUGGAACUCCAUGUGUAGCGGUGAAAUGCGUAGAUAUAUGGAAGAACACCAGUGGCGAAAGCGGCUCUCUGGUCUGUAACUGACGCUGAGGUUCGAAAGCGUGGGUAGCAAACAGGAUUAGAUACCCUGGUAGUC